CAUAAAAAAUAGGUUGAAAACUAGUGGUUAUACAGCUCGCCCAGAAUGGGACGUCCCAUGGGGCAUCCCACUAGCAUUGGGAUGUCCCAAUAGGUCAGACAGAAAGUUUGACUUUCUAUUUUGAUCUCAGGGUCUCAGGGGUCAUCCCAAGUGGGUCGUCUCAAUCACAUGGAUCAUCCCAGAUGGGUCGUCCCACUGCAUGUCAUAAGCCAA
rnacentral:lncRNA from 1 species